rnacentral:rRNA from 1 species
AUACGUAGGUGGCAAGCGUUGUCCGGAAUUAUUGGGCGUAAAGCGCGCGCAGGUGGUUCCUUAAGUCUGAUGUGAAAGCCCACGGCUCAACCGUGGAGGGUCAUUGGAAACUGGGGGACUUGAGUGCAGAAGAGGCAAGUGGAAUUCCAAGUGUAGCGGUGAAAUGCGUAGAGAUUUGGAGGAUCACCAGUGGCCAAGGCGAUUUUCUGGUCUAUAACGGACGCUGCGGCGCGAUAGCGUGGGGAGUAAACAGGAUUAGAUACCCUGGUAGUCCACGCCGUAAACGAUGAGUGCUAAGUGUUAGGGGGUUUCCGCCCCUUAGUGCUGCAGCUAACGCAUUAAGCACUCCGCCUGGGGAGUACGGUCGCAAGACUGAAACUUAAAGGGAUUGACAUGG